rnacentral:rRNA from 1 species
UAGGGAAUCUUCCGCAAUGGACGCAAGUCUGACGGAGCAACGCCGCGUGAGUGAAGAAGGAUUUCGGUUCGUAAAACUCUGUUGUUAGAGAAGAACAGCGCAUAGAGUAACUGUUAUGCGUGUGACGGUAUCUAACCAGAAAGCCACGGCUAACUACGUGCCAGCAGCCGCGGUAAUACGUAGGUGGCAAGCGUUGUCCGGAUUUAUUGGGCGUAAAGCGAGCGCAGGCGGUCAAUUAAGUCUGAUGUGAAAGCCCCCGGCUCAACCGGGGAGGGUCAUUGGAAACUGGUUGACUUGAGUGCAGAAGAGGAGAGUGGAAUUCCAUGUGUAGCGGUGAAAUGCGUAGAUAUAUGGAGGAACACCAGUGGAGAAGGCGACUCUCUGGUCUGUAACCGACGCUGAGGCUCGAAAGCGUGGGUAGCAAACAGG